UACAGAGGGUGCGAGCGUUGUCCGGAAUCACUGGGCGUAAAGGGCGCGUAGGUGGUGGCUUAAGCGUGCGGUGAAAGCCCGGGGCUCAACCCCGGGUCGGCCGUGCGAACUGUCGAGCUGGAGCACUGUAGAGGCAGGUGGAAUUCCGGGUGUAGCGGUGGAAUGCGUAGAGAUCCGGAAGAACACCGGUGGCGAAGGCGGCCUGCUGGGCAGUGGCUGACGCUGAGGCGCGACAGCGUGGGGAGGCAAACAGG
rnacentral:rRNA from 1 species